rnacentral:rRNA from 1 species
UGGGGAAUAUUGCACAAUGGGCGCAAGCCUGAUGCAGCCAUGCCGCGUGUAUGAAGAAGGCCUUCGGGUUGUAAAGUACUUUCAGCGGGGAGGAAGGGAGUAAAGUUAAUACCUUUGCUCAUUGACGUUACCCGCAGAAGAAGCACCGGCUAACUCCGUGCCAGCAGCCGCGGUAAUACGGAGGGUGCAAGCGUUAAUCGGAAUUACUGGGCGUAAAGCGCACGCAGGCGGUAUGUUAAGUCAGAUGUGAAAUCCCCGGGCUCAACCUGGGAACUGCAUCUGAUACUGGCAAGCUUGAGUCUCGUAGAGGGGGGUAGAAUUCCAGGUGUAGCGGUGAAAUGCGUAGAGAUCUGGAGGAAUACCGGUGGCGAAGGCGGCCCCCUGGACGAAGACUGACGCUCAGGUGCGAAAGCGUGGGGAGCAAACA